GGCCCCAUGGUCAAGUGGUUAAGACACCACCCUUUCACGGUGGUAACGGGGGUUCGAAUCCCCCUGGGGUCAUCA
rnacentral:tRNA from 2 species